AGGGGAAACGACAUCGAAAGCUUGCUUUUGAUGGGCGUCGACCGGCGCACGGGUGAGUAACGCGUAUCCAACCUGCCCACCACUUGGGGAUAACCUUGCGAAAGUAAGACUAAUGCCCAAUGACAUUUAUAGAAGGCAUCCGAAGUGAAUUAAAGAUUUAUCGGUGAUGGAUGGGGAUGCGUCUGAUUAGCUUGUUGGCGGGGUAACGGCCCACCAAGGCUACGAUCGGUAGGGGUUCUGAGAGGAAGGUCCCCACAAUGGAACUGAGACACGGUCCAUACUCC
rnacentral:rRNA from 1 species